rnacentral:tRNA from 1 species
GGGGAGAUACCCAAGCGGUCAAAGGGGGCAGGCUGUAAACCUGUUGGCGUAGCCUUCGGGGGUUCGAAUCCUCCUCUCCCCA